GUGGAUUAGAUACCCUGGUAGUCCAUGCCGUAAACGUUGGGCACUAGGUGUGGGGGACAUUCCACGUUUUCCGCGCCGUAGCUAACGCAUUAAGUGCCCCGCCUGGGGAGUACGGCCGCAAGGCUAAAACUCAAAGGAAUUGACGGGGGCCCGCACAAGCGGCGGAGCAUGCGGAUUAAUUCGAUGCAACGCGAAGAACCUUACCAAGGCUUGACAUGAACCGGUAAGACCUGGAAACAGGUCCCCCACUUGUGGCCGGUUUACAGGUGGUGCACGGCCGUCGCCAACU
rnacentral:rRNA from 1 species